GGGCCCUUAGCUCAGUUGGUUAGAGCAUCCGACUCAUAAUCGGCAGGUCAACGGUUCAAGUCCGUUAGGGCCCACCA
rnacentral:tRNA from 1 species